CAGUCGCCGCGGUAAUACGUAGGUGGCAAGCGUUGUCCGGAAUUAUUGGGCGUAAAGGGCUCGCAGGCGGUUUCUUAAGUCUGAUGUGAAAGCCCCCGGCUCAACCGGGGAGGGUCAUUGGAAACUGGGAAACUUGAGUGCAGAAGAGGAGAGUGGAAUUCCACGUGUUGCGGUGAAAUGCGUAGAGAUGUGGAGGAACACCAGUGGCGAAGGCGACUCUCUGGUCUGUAACUGACGCUGAGGAGCGAAAGCGUGGGGAGCGAACGGGAUUAGAUACCCCGGUAGUCCCUGUCUCUUAUAC
rnacentral:rRNA from 1 species